rnacentral:rRNA from 1 species
ACAGAGGGUGCAAGCGUUAAUCGGAAUUACUGGGCGUAAAGCGUGCGUAGUCGGUUGUUUAAGUCGGAUGUGAAAUCCCCGGGCUCAACCCGGGAAUUGCAUUCGAUACUGGGCAGCUAGAGUUCGGCAGAGGGAAGUGGAAUUUCCGGUGUAGCGGUGAAAUGCGUAGAUAUCGGAAGGAACAUCAGUGGCGAAAGCGACUUCCUGGACCAGAACUGACGAUCAGGCACGAAAGCGUGGGGAGCAA